UACAGAGGUCCCAAGCGUUGUUCGGAUUCACUGGGCGUAAAGGGUGCGCAGGUGGGUUUGCAAGUUUGAUGUGAAAGCCCCGGGCUUAACCCGGGAAUGGCAUUGAAUACUGCAGAUCUGGAGGAUUGGAGGGGGGACUGGAAUUCUUGGUGUAGCAGUGAAAUGCGUAGAUAUCAAGAGGAACACCAGUGGCGAAGGCGAGUCCCUGGACAAUAACUGACACUGAGGCACGAAAGCUAGGGGAGCAAACAGG
rnacentral:rRNA from 1 species